rnacentral:tRNA from 1 species
GGGGUUGUGGCUCAGUGGUAGAGCGCUUGCCUAGCAUGUGCAAGACGCUGGGUACAAUCCUCAGCACCA